rnacentral:rRNA from 1 species
UACGAAGGGGGCUAGCGUUGCUCGGAAUCACUGGGCGUAAAGCGCACGUAGGCGGCUUUUUAAGUCAGGGGUGAAAUCCUGGAGCUCAACUCCAGAACUGCCUUUGAUACUGAGAAGCUUGAGUCCGGGAGAGGUGAGUGGAACUGCGAGUGUAGAGGUGAAAUUCGUAGAUAUUCGGAAGAACACCAGUGGCGAAGGCGGCUCACUGGCCCGGUACUGACGCUGAUGUGCGAAAGCGUGGGGAGCAAACAGG